rnacentral:rRNA from 1 species
CAAAGGAAUUGACGGGUCCCCGCACAAGCAGCGGAGCGUGUGGUUUAAUUCGUUGCUACACGAAGAACCUUACCUGGGUUUGACAUAGCAGUGGUAGGGAAGAGAAAUCGGACCGACCCUUCGGGGAGCUGUUACAGGUGUUGCAUGGCUGUCGUCAGCUCGUGUCGUGAGAUGUUCGGUUAAGUCCGCUAACGAGCGCAACCCGCGUUGUGUGUUAUAUGUGUCACACAAUACCGCCGGUAUUUAAGCCGGAGGAAGGUGCGGAUGACGUCAAGUCAGCAUGACCUUUAUAUCCAGGGCUACACACACGCUACAAUGGACAGUACAACAGGUUGCCAAGCCGCGAGGCGGAGCCAAUCCUCUAAAGCUGUCCUCAGUUCAGAUUGCAGGCUGCAACUCGCCUGCAUGAAGUUGGAAUCGCUAGUAAUCGCAGGUCAGCAUACUGCGGUGAAUACGUUCCCGGGUCUU